CCGCAAACCGACACUUGGUGCGCGAGAUGAGUAUUCUAAGGCGCUUGAGAGAACUGCGGUAGUAAGGAACUCGGCAAAUUGAUACCGUAACUUCGGGAGAAGGUAUGACCCUAAGUAAGUGAAGUUGUACAAAUGGAGCCUGAACAGGGUUGCAAAAAUCGGUGGCUGCGACUGUUUAAUAAAAACACAGGCACUCUGCAAAACACGAAAGUGGACGUAUAGGGUGUGACGCCUGCCCGGUGCUGGAAGAUUAAAUGAUGGGGUGCAAAGCUCUUGAUUGAAGUCCCAGUAAACGGCGGCCGUAACAAUAACGGUCCUAAGGUAGCGAAAUUCCUUGUCGGGUAAGUUCCGACCUUGCACGAAUGGCGUAACGAUGGGCCACACUGUCUCCUCCGCAGUACUCAGCGAAGUUGGAAAUGUUGUGAUGAUGCAAAUCUCCCGCGGAAAGACGGAAAGACCCAU
rnacentral:rRNA from 1 species